GAAGCACUUAGCCAUAAAAUUAUAGACUAUUUAAGGGAAAAGGGAGGUGCAAGGAGGGAGAUCUGAGAACUUCCUAAUCAUCCAAACUGUCCAGCAAUAGAAUGGCAAGCCCAGAUAAGGAAACUGAGAUGCAGAGGUUCACAGCUGGCAUGAGGACCAUGUGUCCCGAAAUGUGAAGCACACAACGUGGCCUUAGAUGCCAUCAGUGCACACGCAGAGAGUGAUUCUUUUCUGACUCCCGUUGAACCGUCCUUUCUGAUUACAUCCAGGGAGGAAGGCUUGGUGCGGCGCUGGGCAUCUGGCACACUUCGCUAAACCCUGCAGGCCUCCCUGGCAAUGACUUGGCUGGCCUGGCGCCCUGGGCAGCCUCAGUGUCGGGGUGGAUUGUGAUGCACGUGGUUUUCUGGGCACUGCUGCGUUCUACUUGCGCACAGUGUACCAGUGCCCUUUCCAGCAGAGAUAUGAAUGAAGUCUUCUAAAUUUUUUAAUGACCUUAAGUAAAGAAUGAAUAAAUGACAA